AAUAUGUGUGUUUUUCCUUGGGUCUUUCCUUUUCCUUUAUUACCUAAAGGCCUGCCAGAACCCUCUCUUCGUGAUUGAGGUGUGUUACUGAGAGAAGAGGAUAAUGAGAAUCUAGUGAUUUUAUCUCCACCCCAGCUGGACCGGUGGGACCUCAUGACCUACAUUCAUUUUCAGCUGUCAACCCAACAAUAUCACCUCCUCUGCCAGUUCUCC
rnacentral:lncRNA from 1 species